rnacentral:tRNA from 1 species
UUUAAUUUAGAAUACCAGCUUUGGGAGCUGGAGGCGGAGGUUUGAUUCCUUUCUUUCUGAUGCUCUGG